GACGAACGCUGGCGGCGUGCCUAAUACAUGCAAGUCGAACGAACUCUGGUUUUUGAUUGACGGUGCUUGCACCUGAUUGAUUAAACAUUUGAGUGAGUGGCGAACUGGUGAGUAACACGUAGGAAACCUGCCCAGAAGCGGGGGGAUAACACCUGGAAACAGAUGCUAAUACCGCAUAACAACUUGAACCGCAUGGUUCGAGUUUGAAAGAUGGCUCUGCUAUCACUUCUGGAUGGUCCUGCGGCGUAUUAGCUAGAUGGUGAGGUAACGGCUCACCAUGGCAAUGAUACGUAGCCGACCUGAGAGGGUAAUCGGCCACAUUGGGACUGAGACACGGCCCAAACUCCUACGGGAGGCAGCAGUAGGGAAUCUUCCACAAUGGACGAAAGUCUGAUGGAGCAACGCCGCGUGAGUGAAGAAGGGUUUCGGCUCGUAAAACUCUGUUGUUAGAGAAGAACAUAUCUGAGAGUAACUGUUCAGGUAUUGACGGUAUCUAACCAGAAAGCCACGGCUAACUACGUGCCAGCCGCCGCAGUAA
rnacentral:rRNA from 1 species